CUGCGAAAUGCCUGCUUGGUGGCUGUCUAUCGGGUGUGGUGGCCUGGUACUGAUGAGCAGCCAAAC
rnacentral:hammerhead_ribozyme from 1 species